rnacentral:rRNA from 1 species
AACGAACGCUGGCGGCAGGCCUAACACAUGCAAGUCGAGCGCACCCUUCGGGGCGAGCGGCGGACGGGUUAGUAACGCGUGGGAAUGUACCCUUUUCUACGGAAUAGCCAUUGGAAACGAUGAGUAAUACCGUAUAGGCCCUUUGGGGGAAAGAUUUAUCGGAGAAGGAUCAGCCCGCGUUAGAUUAGAUAGUUGGUGGGGUAAUGGCCUACCAAGUCUACGAUCUAUAGCUGGUUUUAGAGGAUGAUCAGCAACACUGGGACUGAGACACGGCCCAGACUCCUACGGGAGGCAGCAGUGGGGAAUCUUAGACAAUGGGCGCAAGCCUGAUCUAGCCAUGCCGCGUGAGUGAAGAAGGCCUUAGGGUCGUAAAGCUCUUUCGCCAGGGAUGAUAAUGACAGUACCUGGUAAAGAAACCCCGGCUAACUCCGUGCCAGCAGCCGCGGUAAUACGGAGGGGGUUAGCGCUGUUCGGAAUUACUGGGCGUAAAGCGCACGUAGGCGGAUUAGAAAGUAUGGGGUGAAAUCCCAGGGCUCAACCCUGGAACUGCCUCAUAAACUCCUAAUCUAGAGUUCGAGAGAGGUGAGUGGAAUUCCGAGUGUAGAGGUGAAAUUCAUA